rnacentral:rRNA from 1 species
CGGUACGAUCGGUGACAGGUGGUGCAUGGUUGUCGUCAGCUCGUGUCGUGAGAUGUUGGGUUAAGUCCCGCAACGAGCGCAACCCCUAUUGUUAGUUGCCAUCAUUCAGUUGGGCACUCUAGCGAGACUGCCGGUAAUAAACCGGAGGAAGGUGGGGAUGACGUCAAAUCAUCAUGCCCCUUAUGACCUGGGCUACACACGUGCUACAAUGGUUGGUACAACGAGUUGCGAGUCGGUGACGGCGAGCUAAUCUCUUAAAGCCAAUCUCAGUUCGGAUUGUAGGCUGCAACUCGCCUACAUGAAGUCGGAAUCGCUAGCAAUCGCGGAUCAGCACGCCGCGGUGAAUACGUUCCCGGGCCUU